rnacentral:rRNA from 1 species
GAUGAACGCUGGCGGCGUGCCUAAUACAUGCAAGUCGAGCGAACGGACGAGAAGCUUGCUUUUCUGAUGUUAGCGGCGGACGGGUGAGUAACACGUGGAUAACCUACCUAUAAGACUGGGAUAACUUCGGGAAACCGGAGCUAAUACCGGAUAAUAUUUUGAACCGCAUGGUUCAAAAGUGAAAGACGGUCUUGCUGUCACUUAUAGAUGGAUCCGCGCUGCAUUAGCUAGUUGGUAAGGUAACGGCUUACCAAGGCAACGAUGCAUAGCCGACCUGAGAGGGUGAUCAGCCACACUGGAACGGAGACACGGUCCAGACUCCUACGGGAGGCAGCAGUAGGGAAUCUUCCGCAAUGGGCGAAAGCCUGACGGAGCAACGCCGCGUGAGUGAUGAAGGUCUCCGGAUCGUAAAACUCUGUUAUUAGGGAAGAACAUAUGUGUAAGUAACUGUGCACAUCUUGACGGUACCUAAUCAGAAAGCCACGGCUAACUACGUG